UACGUAGGGUGCGAGCGUUAAUCGGAAUUACUGGGCGUAAAGCGUGCGCAGGCGGUUCUGUAAGCCAGAUGUGAAAUCCCCGGGCUUAACCUGGGAACUGCAUUUGGGACUGCAAGGCUUGAGUACGGCAGAGGGGGGUAGAAUUCCUGGUGUAGCAGUGAAAUGCGUAGAUAUCAGGAGGAAUACCGAUGGCGAAGGCAGCCCCCUGGGUCGAUACUGACGCUCAUGCACGAAAGCGUGGGGAGCAAACAGG
rnacentral:rRNA from 1 species